CAUUGUGUGCUAUUCUCGAAGAAGAAGAAAGAGUACACAUGGAAGAAAAACGCGCUCUGAAAUUAAAACGGCGUUUUUUAAGAGAUGUGAGUAAUCCUUUUUCUACCCCUGAAAAUGAAUUUCGGCAAAUGUACAGGUACUUGCAGCUCUUAAUUUCUUUGCAAGCGGUUCAUACCAAAAGCGAGUUGGAGAAAGUGACGAUACAUCGAUGAGUCAAGCAUCAGUCAGUGGUGCGAUUCGUCGUACUGCUAAUGCAUUACAACGCCUUAUGGAUCGAUGGGUGCAAUUUCCAAUUUCAGAGGAAAGCAAGCAACAAAUUAAAGAAAAAUUUUGAGCGACAUAUCAAUUCCCUGGUGUUAUCGGAGUUAUUGAUGGGACGCAUGUUGCGAUAGUUCUACCAAACCAAGAACGGGAACAUUUAUAUAUAAAUAGGAAAUUAUAUCAUUCUCUAAAUGUUCUAUUAGUAUGCGAUUUCGAAAUGAGAAUAAGAACGAUUAAUGCCUUGAACGGUGGUAGAACUCAUGACGCAAGAGUUUUCCGGGCAUCGCAGUUAUAUGAUCACCUUAAUACUAUGACUGUCAACGAAGAAAAGGGAUCUUGGAUCUUAGAUAUGUAUAGAAUCAUAAUAAAACUAUUGAAUGCAUAUAUUAUGAUAUAAUACAAUAAAGGUUCAUUAUUAUACUUCUUCAGGUGAUUCUGGGUACCCUUUGAUGCCUAAUUUAAUGACUCCGAAAUUACACGAAUCCGAAGGAAGUCCAUCAGCAAGGUAUACAGAACACCAUGUCCAAGCAAGAUCAACCAUUGAAAGAUGUAUUGGGAUGUUUAAAGGAAGAUGAAGAUGCUUGCGAAAAGAUCGGACACUGCAUUACACCCCUGAAAAAGCUGUUGUGAUUGUUAAUGCUUGCGCAGUACUGCACAAUAUUUGUAUUCAGUGGAAGUUGCCGGAGGCAAUGGAAGAUUUUUAUUUGGACGAAAUAGAUCGUAAUCACGCAAAUCAGGAAAGAUUUAAUGACGUCCAAAACAUUCCUGUUACAGGUCAUGAUGUGCGAGAACAGAUUAU